rnacentral:rRNA from 1 species
UACGAAGGGGGCUAGCGUUGUUCGGAAUUACUGGGCGUAAAGCGCAUGUAGGCGGUCCUACAAGCCAGGGGUGAAAUCCCGGAGCUCAACUCCGGAAUUGCCUUUGGAACUGUAGGACUGGAGUAUCGGAGGGGAUGGUGGAAUUCCAAGUGUAGAGGUGAAAUUCGUAGAUAUUUGGAGGAACACCGGUGGCGAAGGCGGCCAUCUGGACGAUUACUGACGCUGAGAUGCGAAAGCGUGGGGAGCAAACAGG